CGAAAUCGUAAAUGUUCAAGAACCAAAAUAUCCUUUUUGCCUAAAAUUUAAGGAGAAGUGCAUCCAGGCGUUUCAGAUUGGCAAGUUAUCACAAGAAAAUUCUUUUGUAUACUGAUCUUUAUCAAGAACUGUGAGCAAAAUAACUAAUACAUGAGUAUUGAACAAGAGAAGCAAAAUACAUUGCCAAGAAAACCAUCAUCGAGACCUUCAAACAUGAUAAGAAGAAUUGGACAUAGCAAGCAAGCACAAAUACACGUUUUAAUACAAAGUUGACAUCGAAGAAACUGUCCUACAAAUCUUCACCACCACACACCCCAUCACCUCUCCCCAUCCCCCUCCCCCCCACCACCCGCCGGGCUCUUCUCUUUUUAAUGCCUUCAAGUUGUAGCACUUAUAAUACUAUUGUAGACAGCUUCCCAAUCUAAUGUUGAGCAUGUGCAUAAUUUAAGGUCACUCGAUGGGCAACACGGAGAACUUCACAUCUCAAAUUCUUGUCCUAGAGCCAGCGAAAACCUCCCCAUCGGCUAGCUCCACUGUAUUGGUGCAUCUUUUUAAAAUUGCAUCACUCUCAAAUCUUAUCAACUAAUUCCAUCAAAACUUUCAGAGGUAUUAAUUGAUGCUGUAGUGCUAUGUAAGAAAUGAACAGUUGUGAACUUUCACAGAUGGAUGUAAACAAUUAGUUGUUUAAAUUUCAAAUCAGAGUGACUAAUUAGUCUACUUAAAUUCAGAGGACUGCUUAUUCUCUGAACACAUCAACAUGUUGCUGCCAGGAACCUGGACUGCUCCAUGACCAUAACGGUCACUCAAGGAUCCAAAUUCUGAUUCAUCAUCAUCACUAUCAAUAUGUUUUGGAGUCACACGGUUCUGAUAACUUCUGCGCUGAACAAGAAAGACAUUGAAGUAAUAACUAACCAACUCUUCCCUCUUCUUUCUAGGAAAGUACUUUCUCGAAUCAUCCCAGAAGCACUUGUCUAGAGAUGGGGGAUUUAAUCUCACCAUAUUCUUAAAUCGUAUUUCUUCUUCAGCAGUCCAUCUGAGUGAAAUUUCCUCACCCAUGUGAUCAAAUCUCCAGCGAUAGAACAGGAGGCCUAGUUCAAGUUUCAAUUUCAUCCUGUUUUCAGCAAUGUGAAAUCUGACACAUUCAACAGACCCUGGAAGCUGACAACCACAUAAAUUGGGCCUUCCCUUCCCAGUAGAAACUGUUUCAACUGGGGCAUCAUGGUCUCCAUCGGAAGGCCACACUCGUGUGCCUAGCCACCUAGGGUCACUCUCAGAAACUAUGCUAAUCCAUUCUGGGACUUCAGCUUGAAAAUGAGGACCCACUGAAACAUGGCUCAGAAUUUCCUCAUCCCCAGAUGGGCUGAGUGUAGUGCUUACAGCAGAUAAAUCAUCAGCAAAAGGUGGUCGUUGCUUUAGGCCAUUCUCAAACUCUGUGUUGGGAGAACUUAUCAACUGACUUUGAGCAGCAGAACAUGAACUGCAACAGGAGCAUAAACGAGGUUUGACUAAAGCAGAAAGUCGCUCACUGCAUCUUAACCUCUUUGCAGACUGGUCAUUGGCAAGCGUAACAUCCUCAUACAUGGAUGGAUGCAUCUUGUGAUUGUUCAGAUUGUCAAUUCUGAACUCCCAGAUUGUCAAUUCUGAACUCCUCUUCCAUUGCCUCCCCUCCUGCAAGAGAGGCCAUUCAGAGUUUGAAUUAACCUGCCUUCUGCACAAAAGAGCAUCUCGUGCCCUGACAGCCUGGGCCCAUAAUUCACUGCCUUUGUGGUCCUUCAACUUAAAUAAUGAUGGUAUUUCCCCAUUUGAAGGAUCAUCAGGACACUUUGCGAUUUGGAUCACCCAGUUCAGCAUUGUUGACAGUGAUUCUCGUUUUCUCUUCUGCAAAUCAAAUAUUUUCUUGCCAAUUCUAAGAUCCAAGAUCACAACAUCAUCGCCAUCAUUAUCAUCAUUAUUAGAAUGAUUUUCCUUAUAAUCAUGAAAAUUUUUAUCAUCAUCAAUAUGCUUAUUUCCAACACAAUUGCAUACUUUAUGUACAUCUUUGGUAUCCAAAAAACCCUUUUUACUCUUCAAGACAUCCACAUGAAUGUUCUUGCCAUUUUUCUUGUAUUCACCAUCCUUCCCCUUUUGAUAACCAUGAGAUAACAAACUUCUAAACUCUCUCUCUAAUUCCAAUGAUGCAACUGAAAUUCCCAUCAGGGUGACACUGAUCAUUUCCCAAUCUCCCAUCUCUAAAGCUUCCCCUCAACCAUCUUUCCAACUCAUACAAGUACUUAAAAUAGACUAAUUUAACUGAAGUUGAAGCUCUAAUAUCCAAGCCUAGCUCUUUUACCUCAAAAGUCCAGAAACCAUUUACCAAAUCAAAGCCUCCUCUCUUUCUCACCACCCGGAAAAGUUUACAUAAAUCCAGUGAUUGCCCAUCACCAAGCAAUGCUGG
rnacentral:misc_RNA from 1 species